rnacentral:rRNA from 1 species
UACGUAGGCGGAAGAUUAAGUCAGUGGUAAAAUCCUGCAGCUUAACUGUAGAACUGUCAUUGAUACUGGUUUUCUUGAAUUUAGUUGAGGUAGGCGGAAUGUGUAAUGUAGCGGUGAAAUGCUUAGAUAUUACACAGAACACCGAUUGCGAAGGCAGCUUACUAAACUAUGAUUGACGCUGAGGUACGAAAGCGUGGGGAGCGAACAGGAUUAGAUACCCUGGUAGUCC